rnacentral:rRNA from 1 species
GACGAACGCUGACGGCGUGCUUAACACAUGCAAGUCGAACGGAAAGGCCCUGCUUUUGUGGGGUGCUCGAGUGGCGAACGGGUGAGUAACACGUGAGUAACCUGCCCUUGACUUUGGGAUAACUUCAGGAAACUGGGGCUAAUACCGGAUAGGAGCUCCUGCUGCAUGGUGGGGGUUGGAAAGUUUCGGCGGUUGGGGAUGGACUCGCGGCUUAUCAGCUUGUUGGUGGGGUAGUGGCUUACCAAGGCUUUGACGGGUAGCCGGCCUGAGAGGGUGACCGGCCACAUUGGGACUGAGAUACGGCCCAGACUCCUACGGGAGGCAGCAGUGGGGAAUAUUGCACAAUGGGCGGAAGCCUGAUGCAGCAACGCCGCGUGCGGGAUGAAGGCCUUCGGGUUGUAAACCGCUUUCGCCUGUGACGAAGCGUGAGUGACGGUAAUGGGUAAAGAAGCACCGGCUAACUACGUG